rnacentral:rRNA from 1 species
CGAGAUGAGUUCUCCCUGACUCCUUGAGAGUCCUGAAGGAACGUUGAAGACGACGACGUUGAUAGGCCGGGUGUGUAAGCGCAGCGAUGCGUUGAGCUAACCGGUACUAAUGAACCGUGAGGCUUAACCUU